GGGCAAGAUAGGUGAAGUUAGCUAACCAGCAAGCUGGUUAUCAAUCUUCACUCUCCCUUAUUCGCACCUUCGGCGCUCAACGGGGAUCUUGCUCUGCGAGGCA
rnacentral:ncRNA from 1 species